rnacentral:rRNA from 1 species
UACACAGAGAAUAAGGAUCGGCUAACUCCGUGCCAGCAGCCGCGGUAAUACGGAGGAUCCGAGCGUUAUCCGGAUUCAUUGGGUUUAAAGGGUGCGCAGGCGGCUUCUUAAGUCAGCGGUAAAAUCGCGGGGCUCAACCCCGUCCCGCCGUUGAUACUGGGGAGCUUGAUUACGGUCGAGGCAGGCGGAAUUCGUCGUGUAGCGGUGAAAUGCAUAGAUAUGACGAAGAACACCGAUUGCGUAGGCAGCCUACCAGGCCGUUAAUGACGCUCAUGCACGAAAGUGCGGGGAUCGAACAGGAUUAGAUACCCUGGUAGUCCGCACAGUAAACGAUGAAUACUUGCUUUCGGCGAUAGAUGGUCGGAGGCAAAGCGAAAGCGAUAAGUAUUCCACCUGGGGAGUACGCCGGCAACGGUGAAACUCAAAGGAAUUGACGG